CAUAGAGCAGGGUUGGGAGGACAAUAGCUUUAUAAACAAGCACCUUGGUAUCCCUACGGAUGUCCCGGUCCUCAAACACUCUGCUUCAUUCGGAAAAAUGCUGCGCUUGCAGAGCUCAGGCGGUGUUGUAUUUCGGUGUCGAUGUUGACUUUGGUGGAGAGGUGGCUGCCAAGGUAGCGGAAAUGAUCCUAGAACAUAAUAACCCUAUAAAAUAAUUGUUAAAUUACAGCAUCCCAGGAUGUCAAGGAAGGAAAUCUUCCCACUUCCUUCGCUGUGAUUCCAGACAUUUUUUGUUCAUUGUUAGUUCACAGUAAUGGGCGACCAAACUGAUUUUCCAGAUGUUGUUGUACAGCGAUUCCCGGCAUUCCUUGUUUUUGGCUAUACUGGUCAGGGUAUGUGUGUUGAAAUGGUGUGUUAAAAUAAAUAUUUAUUUAACUCACAGGAAUUUAAACAAACUGACCUUUACACUAGAGCAGGCCUGCACAACCUGCAUACCUCCAGAUAUCUUCGCCUCCAACUCCCAGAAGCCCUAGCCAGCUUGUUCUACAGCCAGGAAUUCUGGGAGCUGAAGUCCAAAACACAUGGAGGGUCACAGAUUAUGCAGAUCUGCACUAGAGCCUAAUACAGCUGCUGUCCUCUUGAAACAAGUUACUGUAGAAGGAGAGGAGGACUUGAGGCAGACUCAGUCCAUCCACUCUAACCCCGUCAAAUGACUGGGAAAGGAAAUUGCUAGGAUUCAAGAGUCAUGUUUUCUUGGAAUGAGAAAAUUUCAUUAUGAGCAAAGGCUUAGCUUUGUGUUUUGUUCAUUGCAGGGGCUGAAAACAAGAUGAAAAACUGCUGUUACCAGAAUGAGGACUUGCAGCUCUUCCAAGAAAAAGAAAUCUGCACAUAUUGCCCUCUAGUUAAAGUUAUGUUUCUGGCCACACACACACACCACCCCCCUGCAAAACAAAGAUAAACAAUGACUUGCUGAGCUUGUCCUAAAAACAGUCUCCGUAAAUUACAGCACAGUAAUGUUCUCUGAACCAAUCCUUCUUCUGAAGCUACAAAUAACAAUUAUUAUGCAUUUAGGUACAGGUUAGCCAGGCUGUAGUAUUGCACUCUUAAAAACAAACAUCAUAUUUGACAAGACUGAACAGGUAUGUAGCACAGAUGAAAACUGAAGACCUAAAGUGAUUGAUUCUCCAAGGUCCCACACUGCAGAAAUGUCACUAAAAACCAAGUUCCCCAGAUUUAUGUAAAGCAGACAAGCACCAAGAUUGCAGGAACAGAAACUUACAACUCACCUGCAAAACACUUGAGGGAGAGAAUAAAAUGUUGCAGCUGAGUCAAGAAACUGUCAGAAAACAGAAACAUCAUUUGGCAAUUAAAUGGAGAACUAUUACAAUAAUAAGUCCUGUAUCCUGAAACAUUUGCCUCCUCUGAAAGAGACCAGCUCAACUUAUUUCAGUUGAAUCAUUUCAUCUCUGUGAACAACUCUGGCUUUUGUAGCCUAAUUGCUUCUCUCUUUUUUUGAAGCAUGACUCAUAUGAAAAAGUCAUGCAGAAAUAACAUCCUUGUUUAGCAGGAGCCUAACACUGAGAAUUGCUUUUCACUUCCUUACAAAACCAAAAACGUGAUCUCCCUCUCACACGCACUGCUCUCCAAGCUAGAAGGCUGUAAUUUGGAGUUGACUCACAGGGUGGAACGUAAGCAGCAAUUUCACUUGUCCAAGAAAUCUGUCAGACACGGAAGCUAAUUUCAGUGAGCCACCCGCAUAGAUUUGGCUGACGAUAUGUCCAAGAUGGUGGUGUGCUACUGGCAAGACAGACUUUGUGCAGCUUUCUUGAUUCACUGAAAUGCCUUUGUGACUCGACUUCUUUAUAUAAUACCAUAAAACCAAAUAAAAAUGGAGGCUGUUUGAGGUUA